CCGACGCGAGUCUAUCUCCGACUUCCCCGGGAGCAGUCUCUUCGCGCCUUGAAGUCCCCAAGCUCUGCGAAGUCAAACUCUUAGUCCUCACUUUAUUGCCUUACUUCGCACGAAGUAACCCAUGUUUUAUUUUAAGCCUGUCACGUGUCUCUGUGAAUUCUAAAGACUUAAGAAGCUGUUGGUGUCUGAGAGGAACGCAGACCAGAGGACAACACACCUACCACACUUGACCACACACCUGACCAGAGGAAGAAAGGAACGUGAGAAGCCCUGUGGCAACUGAGUAGGGCCCUUGGCCUAUAGAGACAUCACAACUGUUCAUGCUGGAGCAGUGUCAACUCUGAAAUGGAAUAGUAGUAUCAGGUGAUGACUAACCUAUGGAAUCAUAAAUGUCUCCACUUCGGCAUGAUCACUAAUACUGGCAAUCCAAAACAUACUGGUUUUUUAUACUCAUUAAUGGUGUCCUGGUAACAUGCACACUUCAUAAUUAAAUUCAGUUAACAUCAAUAACAAA